UACAGAGGUCCCAAGCGUUGUUCGGAUUCACUGGGCGUAAAGGGUGCGCAGGUGGGUUUGCAAGUUCGAUGAUGAAAGCCCCGGGCUUAACCCGGGAAUGGCAUUGGAUACUGCAGAUCUGGAGGAUCGGGAGGGGGGACUGGAAUUCUUGGUGUAAGCGAGUGGAAAUGCGUAGGAUAAUCAUGAGGAAUACCAGAAGGCGAAGGCGGCUACCUGGACAAUUGCUGACGCUCAGGCACCGAAAGCGUGGGAGCAAAAGG
rnacentral:rRNA from 1 species